GACGAACGCUGGCGGCGUGCUUAACACAUGCAAGUCGAACGGUGACGAAGAGCUUGCUCUUCUGAUCAGUGGCGAACGGGUGAGUAACACGUGAGCAACCUACCCUUGACACUGGGAUAACAGUUGGAAACAGCUGCUAAUACCGGAUAUGAACCUCUCAGGCAUCUGAGAGGUUGGAAAGCUCCGACGGUCAAGGAUGGGCUCGCGGCCUAUCAGCUUGUUGGUGAGGUAACGGCUCACCAAGGCGACGACGGGUAGCCGGCCUGAGAGGGCGACCGGCCACACUGGGACUGAGAUACGGCCCAGACUCCUACGGGAGGCAGCAGUGGGGAAUAUUGCGCAAUGGGCGAAAGCCUGACGCAGCAACGCCGCGUGCGGGAUGACGGCC
rnacentral:rRNA from 1 species